UUAGGGUUAACGGACUCAUAUAGUAGUGAUUUAAUUAUAUUGCUUCAUAGUGAUUCGUAUAUUUAUAAUAUGUAUUAGGAUUUAAAAUGGGUGUGAUUUUAAAUUGUUCAUUAGGAAUCGUGCAUAGUGAGAAAUAAAACGGACCAUGUUUGUAACUGUUUGCCGCGUGGUUGGAGAUUGAUGUCAACAUCUCCCACGAUAUCCACCGAGAGCAAUAAAACGCUGAUGCAGGAUCCUUCGAUCGGCGAAACAGCAAGAAAAAAGGAGUCUUAGAUUUACCGGGUUUGCGAUACCAGUGUGGCCCACUUUUACCCAGUAGCCAGUCUUAUGUAACACGCUGCUCUAUCCAUCUGCUCGUGUAAAACUCCGUUAAUGGAACCCGAUGAAGAAAUGACGGAAUCCUUACCGAGAUGCACAGCGAGAGAUGUGAUAAUUCGCUAAAGUCUUAUAUGUCUUCUCGGCAUGACGUUCUCGGCAUGUUUUCCCAGCGACGAUUUUUGAAAUGAUAUAUUAUUUUUUUAAACACUCAAAUAUAUUGCACUUUCGUGUGUGAUGUCAUACAGUACAAAAAAUACGAAAUCUAUGUAAAAUAUACAUUGCACGACAUAUCGCAAAUAUAGGACACAUAACAAAUAAUUUUAGAACUUGUGUGCAAGAAAUAAAAAUCUACCUUCUGAUGAAAGCACUUUGUCGACGUCUAAGAAUGUGACAGUAGAUGAAUUAUUAUUACUUUGCCACUUGUGAGGUAAGAUCGGACCAAUACGUUGCAUAAUCCUUUAAUAUAGUUCCACUGAAACGAAACAAAAUAUCGCUGUAAGAAAUUUUUAUUAAGAUUUGAAUAUAAGUACAUCUAAUCUUUUCAUGCGAUUCAUAAAUAUCUUUAAUUUCAGAGUUAAAAUAAUAUUUUUACAUAUUUUAAACAAUAUAACUUCACGGCACUACGCGAAUUACUUUACGUACUGCUUUAUGCGACGUUAAUUGUUCAUGUCUCGAAGUUUUCCAUGGCUCAAGGCGAGGUUGCAAACCGAUAGCUUACAGUUUGUCAAUAUCUGUGCUGGGAAAUUCAACGGGUUAUUAAGAAGCUUUGCGUAUGCGUACGAUUACGGGUGACCGACUGUAUACCUGUGAUUUGAGAACUUGGUCCAUAUUGUGAAGACGAGGCCAGUAUUUUGUAAGGACUCGUGUUCAAGGGCUGCGACCGUGCC